GCAGUCGUGGCAUGGUUAAGAGAUGGACUCGAAAUCCAUUGGGUUUCCACGCGUAGGUUCGAAUCCUCCGGCUGCG